rnacentral:tRNA from 1 species
GGGCGCGUAGCUCAGCUGGUAGAGCAGCGGACUCUUAAUCCGCCGGUCGGAGGUUCGAUCCCUCCCGCGCUCACCA